CAUAGACAUUCGCGUUUGUAGGGCUGGCCCCGCUGUUGCGGUCUAGCCACAAAAAAAAAAAAAGAUUUAUGUACACCUACUGCGACAGCUGCUUCAGAAAAGAAAAACUAUAUCACGUAAGUCCUGCAGAAUGCAUCACGUAGAAGCGGAUUUAUUUAAUUAUACAUACAACAUUCAGAAAUGUAGGCAUUCAUCAGUAGAAAAAAGGGAUUAUUAUUGGUUGAAAAACUACAUUGUCUAAUUAGUAAGAGACUUGCAAGACACACUAAUUUUCCCAUUUGGCAAAAGAGAUUUAAUUUGUUCA